rnacentral:other from 3 species
CACCUCCUGUGGUGCGCGUUAGUGGCCCGGGUAUUUUCUUGAGCCUAAUUAGUGCCCUGGGAGCAUAAUGCGGGUCUUCAGUGUGCAUGUCCGCACACCAGCGGAAAGCCUUAGAAGGCCGCUGUUGUUCCCACUUGAACCUACCGGUUCAAGAACAAUGGUCCGCGACGGCAUUUGCGGGAGGUGU